rfam:Arenibacter nanhaiticus strain CGMCC 1.8863 genome assembly, contig: Ga0066783_125
GAGGGUAGGCCCCUCGGAGUCAAUGUUCAGGCGUGGGCUUCAAACUGCCUUUAUGUUACUAGACUUAAAAGGUCUGGUGAGAAGCGAUAAAGGAAAAGGCAUCCAUACAGAUGUCAAGU